rnacentral:lncRNA from 1 species
CAAAACUCACGAAUGAGCCUUAGAGAUGAAAAGAAAACAAUUGCAAAUGAGCGAUGCAAAUAUUUCCAUGACAAAGUUCUUGUUACCAUAGCAAAGUGACCAUAGGAAUAAUGUUUAAGACUAAACAUCUGUGUCUGUCAAAUGUCUCGGUAAGAUUUGCUUCCUCUACUGCAGAUGGAAAGCUGAAUUUUCCAGUGACUGUCCCAUGAAGUUGCCACUUCACAAGGUAUCAGAUGAUGAUGACGAUGAUGAUGAUGAUGAUGAUGAUGAUGAUGAUGAUGAUGAUGAUGGUGAUCAUAUCCAGAGAGAAGCAAAGUGAAUGUGCCCUGGACAACUUUCAGGAAGACAGUUCUGGUCUGUAGCAAUUAACACAUGGUCAUCCUCAGAAAAAGGAGAUACCCAUAACUUAAAAUGCAGGAACCAAGAGAUUUGAGCCUAGACAUUUGGAUGAAAAGCGAUUUCCACCUGGAGAAAGUCACUGCCCUUCUGUGCAGAGUACCAUUGUGUCUUGAAUCCAGCUUGGCCAUAAGGAAAUGGGGCGAGACUUUGUCAUGUAUGUCGCUGAAGUUCAGCUAUGCAAAAAUGUUCACCUAUCCUUGAUCAACCAGUCCAGGAACCAUCAAAGAAGAAAAUGAGAUUCGACUUAGAAGACCUGUUCUUUAUAAACCCCUGCACAGCCCUAAUGAUCAACACCACUUCCAGUGCUCAUAAAUUACUGCUUCAAUAAUUGUUCUGCAAUUCUGCCUAUUCUCAUUGAAUGCUUCGUAUAAUCCCUUUAUUUACUUUGGGCUACGAUUCAUUUUUAUCAGUGAGUAUUGUACUUGUUUCAUCUCAAAAAUCAUUCUCCUUGAGAAAAAAAAAAAGAACAGAGUUGAGGAAUCCUGCUUUCUCUUUCAUCCACAAAUGCUCUAUUGUCAGAAGGGGGCUUAUAUUUCUUGUGAACUUCUUGUGCUGAUUUUAACUUUGUAAAGUUUUCCUGUUUUCCACGUAUGAAUGAGCAUGAGAACUAUGAAAGGCAAUCAGGUAUAAGAUAUUGUCAAGUAUGUGACUUGAGGGACAAGUGAUCUAUGUGAGCCUGAAGGGAAUCCUGGGAUUGAGAGAGCAUGCAGAGAAGGCACAUAGGUGUGCUAGGGCAUGCAGGUUGUACAGAGAUGGACAGGGAGAAAAUUCGAGUGACAGAGGUUUUCUAUAUGGUGGGAGUAGUGUGGGUUGGCGUCUAUCAGGGGAGACCAACUGACCAUAUCCCUCUGUUCACUUUUAGCCAUGAGUACAAGGCUACAAGAACUCGAGAGGUCAUCUAAGUUAUUUCUGGCUCUUUCAGGUCAAAUGACUACUAGACUAUCCUGGUUUCUAAUUUGAAAUGUAUCCAAAGAAGAUUCCUGUCUCACCCUCUGCAAUCCACUUGCAUGUCUGACCACACUCGGUGCCUACACAAUCUUCACUUUGUCUAGCCUAAAUUCUUCUAACUGUGGCCUAAGGCCUUGGAAGAAUGAUGCCUCUGUGGGGUAAGAACUGCCUUCGUGGCAUAAGAAAGGCAGACCUGGGUGAUCUGGAAGGGCUGUUGCAAGGGGAUAGGAGUGCUGAGGCCUUUUCCAUUAAGAAUACACAGGACUAUGGAGACUCUUGUUUUACUAGAAACUUCUUCACAGAUACCUUAAAUUAGGAAG